CAAUAGCGUAUAUUAAAGUUGUUGCAGUUAAAAAGCUCGUAGUUGGAUUUCUGGAUGGAGCGACCGGUCGGGCAUUAAUUUGUCUGCACUGGAGUCGGUUCCGUCCAUCCUCUUGGAAAGUGCGUCGGGCAUUAAGUUGUUUGACGUAUGAUCCAAGUCGUUUACUGUGAAAAAAUUAGAGUGUUUAAAGCAGGCCUUCGCCUUGAAUACAUUAGCAUGGAAUAAUAAGAUAGGACUUUGGUCUAUUUUGUUGGUUUGCAGACCGAAGUAAUGAUUAAUAGGGAUAGUUGGGGGUAUUUAUAUUCCGAUGUCAGAGGUGAAAUUCUUAGAUUUUCGGAAGAUAAACUUAUGCGAAAGCAUUUACCAAGGAUGUUUUCAUUAA
rnacentral:rRNA from 1 species